rnacentral:tRNA from 1 species
UCGCCUUCGUCGAGGACGGCGUCGCCGCCUUUGAUGUGGCGGGCGGGGUUGUGGUCCUGUUCCAUGAGGUCGACC